GACGAACGCUGGCGGCGUGCUUAACACAUGCAAGUCGAACGGAAAGGCCCUGCUUUUGUGGGGUGCUCGAGUGGCGAACGGGUGAGUAACACGUGAGUAACCUGCCCUUGACUUUGGGAUAACUUCAGGAAACUGGGGCUAAUACCGGAUAGGAGCUCCUGCUGCAUGGUGGUGGUUGGAAAGUUUCGGCGGUUGGGGAUGGACUCGCGGCUUAUCAGCUUGUUGGUGUGGUAGUGGCUUACCAAGGCUUUGACGGGUAGCCGGCCUGAGAGGGUGACCGGGCACAUGGGGACUGAGAUACGGCCCAGACUCCUACGGGAGGCAGCAGGGGGGAAUAUUGCACAAUGGGCGGAAGCCUGAUGCAGCAACGCCGCGUGCGGGAUGACGGCCUUCGGGUUGUAAACCGAUUUCGCAUGUGACGAAGAGUGAGUGACGGUAAUGGGUAAAGAAGCAACGGCUAACUACGUG
rnacentral:rRNA from 1 species